rnacentral:rRNA from 1 species
UGGGGAAUAUUGGACAAUGGGGGCAACCCUGAUCCAGCGAUGCCGCGUGUGUGAAGAAGGCCUGCGGGUUGUAAAGCACUUUAGUUGGGGAGGAAAGGUAUGUACUGCAUAAGUGCAUGCUGUGACGUUACCCAAAGAAUAAGCACCGGCAAACUCUGUGCCAGCAGCCGCGGUAAUACAGAGGGUGCAAGCGUUAAUCGGACUUACUGGGCGUAAAGGGUGCGUAGGCGGCAAUUCAAGUCAUCUGUGAAAUCUCCGGGCUUAACUCGGAACGGUCAGAUGAUACUGCUUUGCUAGAGUGCAGAAGGGGCAAUCGGAAUUCUUGGUGUAGCAGUGAAAUGCGUAGAUAUCGUGAGGAACACCAGAGGCGAAGGCGGUUACCUGGACAAUUACUGACGCUCAGGCACGAAAGCAUGGGGAGCAAAAGGGAUUAGAUACCCCAGUAGUCCCUGAGCGGGCUGGCAAGGCGCAU